UGGUGGCGGAUAUUUAUUCGAACUAUUUUGACGCUUAAUUGCAUUCGCAAGCCAUCCAUAUUGGAGCUGAGGUAUAAAUGACGCCGUAAUUAUGUUAAUAUUUUUUAUAUUGAUGUACUGUUGUGAAUAAUGUGCAUGCCGUUGCGAAUAUUAUUUUUGUAAAUAAAUGAUAAAUAUUGUAUGAUAUGAAAAAACCGGAAGAUAUUAAAAGUUUUACUCAUAUGAUAUUAAAAUGUUAUUGUCGUACUAUUAUGUUUAGUGGUUGUUUGGAUAGCGAGUAAUUAUGUUCGGUUUUUACCAAUAGUCGUUUUUCCAAAAGCUCAGUUUUUGCGUGUUACGAGAACCAGUUUAGGAUAUUUUUGGGGCAGUUAGAGAAAAGCAAACAGUGUUUUAGUUUUUUAUACGCUGGUAGACUAGUUUGAGAAAAAAAUUAUAUCUUGAAAUACUCGUUAACCUAACAACCCCUCAAAGUCUAAGCAAAUGAUUAAAAAACAAACCGAAUAUUUGUAACGAAAAUACGGUUAUUAUUUUAGUCGUACUACUACUGAAUGUUGUCAUCGUACUACUACUGAAUGUUGUCAUCGUACUACUACUAAAUGUUCGGUUACUAAUUAUUUGAAAUGUAAAUAUGGAUGUUGGUUAGGUACUAUUGUUAGUGUACUAUGGGGACGUCUUACGCAACGGUCCUUUGGGGGUGGAUGUGUCCUUGUGCGAGUCGACCACAGUUGUAGUGAGAGACAUGGUGAACGUGGGUUACGCAGCAGUCAGAAGGUGCAUCCGGGCAGUGUUUGGCCUAGGGAUGAAGGGAAAAAAUGACAAUGGAGGCCUUCGUCGUUGAUGGAGAAAAUGAUGGGACAGCUGCCUGUUGGGGUUUGCGGCCUGUCACAGGUGAUCAGUCGUGGGGUUCGUACAUGAGGUUUGCAAGCAAUCCCAAUAACUCAAUGUUUGGUCAGCCGAUGGUGUAUGUGGAGUUCAUUUCAGUCACUGAUGUUGCCGGAUGCAGUAGCAGGGGUGGUGAGGUGGAGUUGGCCAUCACAUCAGCCCCUAGCGUCGGCCCAUCGGAACCGACGGGCGGCCAGCCUGUGUACGACACAGGAUAUUGGUUUGCGGCCGUUGACAUGAGCGAACACAUGGAGGGAUUGCCAGAGGCGCUAGAUGAUGACGAUUACUCUUCCGCGUCUUCCGAGUCAAGCGAAGAAGAAGAUGCUUCUCCCCAGAGGUCGGUGGCGGCGUCACUGCAACCUAGGUUUUUACAGGAUAUGAGCAUCACAAAUGAAUUUCACUCUGUUUCUGGCCUAGAAGCUUGGAGCCUGGAGGUUGGGCAGGUUUUCCCAAACAAGAAGUCUGCUUACCAGGCAAUUAAUAGCUAUGCAAUCACCCUCCACCGCCAGCAUAGAGUGAAGCAGUCUGAUAAAAAAGUGUUGAAGGUCAUAUGCAUCCACACCGCGAAAGGUUGCCGCGGAAGAGUUCUCGCUAGACUGAAGCCUGGGGUAUGUCAGUCAUGGCAUAUCACAAAAAUAGUGCAGCAUAGCUGUGAGCAAACUGGGACUCUUUCAAAUCACUGCAAUGUGACAGCAAGAUAUGUGGCAGAGGUGAUGGAAACGAUUGUGCAGGCAAGUCUCAACAUUAGUGUUAGGGCUUUGCAAAAAGAUGCAGAAGAUCAGAUUGGCUUCCCUGUCAGCUACUGCAAGGCUAGGCGUGCGAAGGAAAAGAUAUUCCAGAACUUGUAUGGAACCUAUGAGUAGGCCUAGUCUUAUGCCCCAAGAAUGCUUCAUCAGAUAGCAAGUGCUAAUAGGGGGACUCAAGUUUGGCGGAGAGAACAUCCAAACCCAAAGAACCCGGGUGAGCUAAUCCUGGACCGCUUAUUCUGGGCAUUCGCCCAGACUAUACAAGCCUUCAGGCACUGUCGCCCGGUAUUAUCAGUUGAUGGUACCUUUCUCACUGGAAAGUGCAAGGGCACACUAUUGGUGGCGAUUGCAGCAGAUGCAAAUAAUCAGCUUCUUCCUAUUGCAUACACACUGGUCGAGAGCGAGAACAAAGAUAGCUGGUUGUGGUUCCUGAGCUGCGUGAAGAUGGGUGUCAUGAAAGAACGUUUAGGUGUUUGCAUCAUCUCUGAUCGCAACACAGGAUUAUUAAGUGCUCUCGACAUAAUUAAGGAGUCGUCAGAAGAGUGGGGGUGGCCGGAUCUAGAGGGAAGGUGGUGCAUGAGGCAUUUGGCAGCAAACUUUUACUCCAAAUUCAAGAAUAAGGAUUGGUUCAAGUUAUUCAAGAGGAUGUGCAUGCAGAAAACUGAAGCCAAAAUGAAUGCCAUCUGGGCAGGUAUCAAUGGUGAGAUCGAGCGUGCGACCUUGCCGUAGAGAGAAGACCGGAGGGGUCGUAGGACGCCCAUAAAUUUGAGCCACUGGAUCGACGAGAAUUGCCCUGAUUUGUACAAGUGGGCGCAGGCUCACGACACCGGGGCUCGGUAUCGAAUAAUGACCAGCAACAUGUCAGAGGUGUACAAUGGUGUUCUUAAAGGGGUGAGAGCCCUGCCUAUCACAGCCCUAAUUGAAGAAACUUGGAACCAGACCUUGUCAUACUUUGCAGACAGGGUAACCGUGGCCAAUGCACAAGUUGAAUUGAACAAUCCAUGGUCCGAGAAGAUGCAAAGACAUCUGGACGAGAAAGCAAAAAAGUCCCAAAGCCAUGGCUGCAGGAAAGUGGACGCACUUAGGAAUAAGUGGGAGGUUAAUGUGCGAGCCAAGUAUGUUAAGGGUCACUGAUACGUCUCCAACGUAUCUAUAAUUUAUGAAGCAUUCAUGCUAUUUUAUUAUCUGUUUUGAAUGAUUACGGGCUUUAUUUUACACAUUUAUAUUAUUUUUGGGACUAACCUACUAACCGGAGGCCCAACCCAUAUUGUUGUUUUAUUGCCUGUUUCAGUAUUUCGAAGAAAAGGAAUAUAAAACGGAGUCCAAACGGAAUGAAACCUUCGGGAGCGUGAUUUUUGGAAAGGAUAUGAUCCGGGAGUCUUGGAGUUCAAGUCAGGGAAGGUUCGAGGAAGCCAGGAGAUAGGAGGGCGCGACCACCCCCCUGGGCGUGCCCCCUGUCUCCUGGGCCCCUCGAGCGUCCCCCGACCGACUUCUUUCGCCUAUAUAUUCCCAUAUACCCUAAAACCAUUGGAUAGGAGAAUAGAUCUGUAGUUCCGCCGCCGCAAGCCUCUGUAGCCACCAAAAACCUCUCGGGACCCUGUUCCGGCACCCUGCCGGAGGGGGAACCCAUCACCGGUGGCCAUCUUCAUCAUCCCGGAGCUCUCCAUGACGAGGAGGGAGUAGUUCACCCUCGGGGCUGAGGGUAUGUACCAGUAGCUAUGUGUUUGAUCUCUCUCUCUAGUGUUCUUGAUUUGGCACGAUCUUGAUGUAUCGCGAGCUUUGCUAUUAUAGUUGGAUCUUAUGAUGUUUCUCCCCCCUCUACUCUCUUGUAAUGGAUUGAGUUUUCCCUUUGAAGUUAUCUUAUCGGAUUGAGUCUUUAAGGAUUUGAGAACACUUGAUGUAUGUCUUGCCAUACUUAUCUGUGGUGACAAUGGGAUAUCACGUGAUCCACUUGAUGUAUGUUUUGGU
rnacentral:lncRNA from 1 species